rnacentral:rRNA from 1 species
UACGUAGGGUGCGAGCGUUAAUCGGAAUUACUGGGCGUAAAGCGUGCGCAGGCGGUUGGUUAAGUCUGAUGUGAAAGCCCCGGGCUCAACCUGGGAAUGGCAUUGGAAACUGGGAGACUUGAGUGUGGCAGAGGGGGGUGGAAUUCCACGUGUAGCAGUGAAAUGCGUAGAUAUGUGGAGGAACACCGAUGGCGAAGGCAGCCCCCUGGGUCAAGACUGACGCUCAUGCACGAAAGCGUGGGGAGCAAACAGG